rnacentral:tRNA from 1 species
GGUGGGAUGUCCGAACUGGCUAAGGAGCCGGUCUUGAAAACCGGUGAACCCGCAAGGGGUCUGGGUUCGAGUCCCAGUCCCAUCGCCA